rnacentral:rRNA from 1 species
CUGUGAUGCCCUUAGAUGUUCUGGGCCGCACGCGCGCUACACUGACAGAGCCAGCGAGUUCUUUUCCUUGGCCGGAAGGUCAUGGGUAAUCUUGUGAAACUCU